GGAGCCGACCUUGAAAUACCACCCUUUAAUGUUUGAUGUUCUAACGUGGACCCGUAAUCCGGGUUGCGGACAGUGUCUGGUGGGUAGUUUGACUGGGGCGGUCUCCUCCUAAAGAGUAACGGAGGAGCACGAAGGUUGGCUAAUCCUGGUCGGACAUCAGGAGGUUAGUGCAAUGGCAUAAGCCAGCUUGACUGCGAGCGUGACGGCGCGAGCAGGUGCGAAAGCAGGUCAUAGUGAUCCGGUGGUUCUGAAUGGAAGGGCCAUCGCUCAACGGAUAAAAGGUACUCCGGGGAUAACAGGCUGAUACCGCCCAAGAGUUCAUAUCGACGGCGGUGUUUGGCACCUCGAUGUCGGCUCAUCACAUCCUGGGGCUGAAGUAGGUCCCAAGGGUAUGGCUGUUCGCCAUUUAAAGUGGUACGCGAGCUGGGUUUAGAACGUCGUGAGACAGUUCGGUCCCUAUCUGCCGUGGGCGCUGGAGAACUGAGGGGGGCUGCUCCUAGUACGAGAGGACCGGAGUGGACGCAUCACUGGUGUUCGGGUUGUCAUGCCAAUGGCACUGCCCGGUAGCUAAAUGCGGAAGAGAUAAGUGCUGAAAGCAUCUAAGCACGAAACUUGCCCCGAGAUGAGUUCUCCCUGAGACUUAGAGUCUCCUGAAGGAACGUUGAAGACGACGACGUUGAUAGGCCGGGUGUGUAAGCGCAGCGAUGCGUUGAGCUAACCGGUACUAAUGAACCGUGAGGCUUAACCUU
rnacentral:rRNA from 2 species